rnacentral:rRNA from 1 species
UAUGAAGGGUGCAAGCGUUACUCGGAAUUACUGGGCGUAAAGCGUGCGUAGGUGGUUUGUUAAGUCUGAUGUGAAAGCCCUGGGCUCAACCUGGGAAUUGCAUUGGAUACUGGCAGGCUAGAGUGCGGUAGAGGAUGGCGGAAUUCCCGGUGUAGCAGUGAAAUGCGUAGAGAUCGGGAGGAACACCCGUGGCGAAGGCGGCCACCUGGGCCGACCCUGACGCUGAGGCGCGAAGGCGUGGGGAGCGAACGGG